CUUUAGCCCCGAUUGCAGCGGCAUCCUUUUUUGGCGCGAGCGAAGCGAGCGCCGAAAAAGAUAUAGCGGAAAGCGGGACUUAUU
rnacentral:sRNA from 1 species